rnacentral:rRNA from 1 species
CUACGGGAUGCAGCAGUGGGGAAUAUUGCACAAUGGAGGGAACUCUGAUGCAGCAACGCCGCGUGGAGGAUGACGCAUUUCGGUGUGUAAACUCCUUUUAUAUAGGAAGAUAAUGACGGUACUAUAUGAAUAAGCACCGGCUAACUCCGUGCCAGCAGCCGCGGUAAUAGGGAGGGUGCAAGCGUUACUCGGAAUCACUGGGCGUAAAGCGCAUGCAGGCGGUUAAAUAAGUUGGAAGUGAAAUCCUAUGGCUCAACCAUAGAACUGCUUCCAAAACUGUUUAACUAGAGUCUGGGAGGGGAAGAUGGAAUUAGUAGUGUAGGGGUAAAAUCCGUAGAGAUUACUAGGAAUACCAAAAGCGAAGGCGAUCUUCUGGAACAGUACUGACGCUGAGAUGCGAAAGCGUGGGGAGCAAACAGGAUUAAUACCCGCGUAGUC